CGCACUGUCGACUAGUCGUCAAAGAUUAGAUCGUCAGCAACUUAAGUUUAAGAGAACAUAUGAACUCUUAUGUACGUGAUUACGAUUUCACAUGCGUAAGAGAUUAUAUGUUUUCUUGAAGCUAAUAAUCAUCGAAGUAGUCAUUGAUGAUAACUAGUCGAUA